rnacentral:rRNA from 1 species
CCUACGGGGGGCAGCAGUGAGGAAUAUUGGUCAAUGGCCGAAGGGCUGAACCAGCCAAGCCGCGUGAAGGAAUAAGGCCCUACGGGUCGUAAACUUCUUUAGUCAGGGAACAAAGGGAGCCACGCGUGGCGCUGUGAGUGUACCUGAAGAAUAAGCAUCGGCUAACUCCGUGCCAGCAGCCGCGGUAAUACGGAGGAUGCGAGCGUUAUCCGGAUUUAUUGGGUUUAAAGGGUGCGUAGGCGGUUUGUCAAGUCAGCGGUAAAAAUUCCGGGCUCAACCCGGUCCCGCCGUUGAAACUGGCGAAC